rnacentral:rRNA from 1 species
GACUCUCGGCAACGGAUAUCUCGGCUCACGCAUCGAUGAAGAACGUAGCAAAAUGCGAUACUUGGUGUGAAUUGCAGAAUCCCGUGAACCAUYGAGUUUUUGAACGCAAGUUGCGCCCGAAGCCAUUCGGCCGAGGGCACGUCUGCCUGGRCGUCACGC